rnacentral:rRNA from 1 species
AACGAACGCUGGCGGCAGGCUUAACACAUGCAAGUCGAGCGAGACCUUCGGGUCUAGCGGCGGACGGGUGAGUAACGCGUGGGAACGUGCCCUUCUCUACGGAAUAGCCCCGGGAAACUGGGAGUAAUACCGUAUACGCCCUUUGGGGGAAAGAUUUAUCGGAGAAGGAUCGGCCCGCGUUGGAAUAGGUAGUUGGUGGGGUAAUGGCCCACCAAGCCGACGAUCCAUAGCUGGUUUGAGAGGAUGAUCAGCCACACUGGGACUGAGACACGGCCCAGACUCCUACGGGAGGCAGCAGUGGGGAAUCUUAGACAAUGGGGGCAACCCUGAUCUAGCCAUGCCGCGUGAGUGAUGAAGGCCUUAGGGUUGUAAAGCUCUUUCAGCUGGGAAGAUAAUGACGGUACCAGCAGAAGAAGCCCCGGCUAACUCCGUG